rnacentral:lncRNA from 1 species
GGUAAACACCACAAGCCUAAGGAAUUAUGGGAGGGAAUGGCAGGAACUCAAGCCAGGCAGGGACGGAAACAGAGAUGGUGGAGAGAUCGACAAAAACUCGGACAGAUCCAGACCCUAAAUGCCUAAUAACAGCUAAAGCUACAGGAACGAAGACCCCAAACUAGCCCCUGUGAACUACGAGAGGGUGACAAGGAGAGUCCUCAGCACCGGCUCCACCCUCUCCAGCCCUGAGUGAGGACAAAGGCAGACAUGACACUGUCCUCCAUAUGACCAAUGAACCAAAUGGGGCUGCAACUUCUCCUGGGUUCCUCUGAUCAGAUUCUUCCUCUGAUAACUCAGCCUGGACCCCGAUACCAACCACAGUGCCCUUAUCAAUUUAGAAAGGCCACUUACCUUACGCUCACAUCCUUUGUGAAGGAACAAUGGGCUCCUUUUCGCGAUCAUCUCCCUUUUAGAUAAAGUGCAUACAACGUACAGCAUCGAGCAGCGUGGCUUUGACUCAGGUUUCAGGACAUGGGCUCAAACCAGCUAAAGUUAGAGUAAGUUUCCCCAGUACUUCCCUUGUAGAAACCCAUCCUCAAAGAGAUGCUCACAAAGAUACAUGGCUCAAGAAAUCUAUUUAGAACGGUGGCAACUCAGGAGGCAAGAUAAGCGUGGGAAACAGAGGAUGUAGUUUGUAGGAGAUUGCACACAUCAUGCUUGUCG